rfam:Erinaceus europaeus unplaced genomic scaffold scaffold00227, whole genome shotgun sequence
GUGUUGUAUGAAAAGGAGAGAAGGUUAGCACUCCCCUUGACAAGGAUGAAAGAGGCUUUUCAGCCUGCAGCACACAUACAGUUAAGACACUGCCACCUACUUACAAAGUAAAAUAUGAAGAAGAAAAAAAAUCUAUGAUUCUU